CAGGUACAGAAAAUAAACAGAGCAUCCAGGACGGGGAUGUAGGCCUGUAGUUCUGUGCAAUUCAAUGACCACACCCCUAUGUUCUAAUGGGAACCAUUGGAGAGGUAAUCCAGAAGUCUCUUGGAGCCCAAGAUAGACGGGUACCAACCUCUUAGUGAAAGUGCCUCUGAAUCGUUGCCAGGUGUUUGGGAGGGCCUAGGAUUUAUGUGCCAGAAACUUGGUCCCAAGGUGGUGUGGUAUUGGGAUGGUGAUAUGGGUGAUGUUUUGAGAGAGAGGAAGUUGCAAGACUGGAAACAUCGCCUGCCACAGAGAUUAAUGUCAUUCUUGUAGGACUUUAAUUAGUUCCUGCAAGUUGUCAUUUAAAAAUGGUACUUCCUGUGUCUCCUGUCCUCUCUCAGUGAGGAAGAAGGAAGGGUACCUGGGGUGAAGGGAAGAGCAUAUUGGCACAGGCGAGGAUGCCACAGACUGUACGGUUAACGAACACAGCUUCAAGUCCUUCAUAACUCUGCCAUUCCCGAGACACAACAUCCCCUCAAAAUCUAUUGAUGAAGAGCCAUCAGCCAUCUGUCAGCCCAUUAAAUGUGUGUCCAGUCCUCCACCUAAUAAAACACUGCACAAACAUC
rnacentral:lncRNA from 1 species